rnacentral:lncRNA from 1 species
CCAAUUCAAUUGGACUUGAUCUAAAAAUAAUUACUCAAUCAAAUUGAGUUAAUUAGUGAUCAAAUCACUAAUUAAACCUCUCAUAAAUAUUGAGUCCAAAUUCAAUGGGCAAUUAGGCAUCAGAGACCAUCGACAUGAAACACUGAUCAAAGAGUUCAAAUUUCAAAUUCAAAAUUUGAAAUUCAAAAUUUUGACCCCGGUACCCAAAAUGUGUGGAACUCAUGAUCAGAGAAUCCUAAUUCUCAAUCAUAGAGUCUCAGACACAUAAGACUCAUAAUCAGCCAUCAUAUCAGAAAGGAACCUCUAAUGUGUGUGACCCCGCAGGUUCGAACCUAAGCCGGUAGCACAGGAACCAAUUCCUGUACUAAUCGAAAUGACCAUCUAGCAAUGGUACCCGA